AGUACGUAGUCUCAGUGGAACAACCGACGAGAGACUGAAGCUUUGGUCUAGUUCUCAAGAUAAUCUGAGCAGUUCUUCCUGACACGAGUCACACGUCCACCUUGCUUGAGGAAAGCGAUGGGUCUGUCAUAGCACCUGGUUGUUUGGAUAAACAAGGAUGGCUUUUGAUGAGGACAACAUCAGACCAUGGGGGCUCUUCCUCCUGGAUAUAGCUAAAGAGGUUAGAAAUGAGGAGUUGCAAAACAUCAAGCUCAUCCUUGGAGACAAGCUGACUGCAAGAGACCGGGAAUCGAUAAUUGAUUCAGUCGAUUUGUUCGAACUGCUGGAGGAUAAAGGACUGAUUAGCGAAGAUA